UACGUAGGGUGCGAGCGUUGUCCGGAAUUACUGGGCGUAAAGAGCUCGUAGGUGGUUUGUCACGUUGUUCGUGAAAACUCACAACUCAAUUGUGGGCGUGCGGGCGAUACGGGCAGACUGGAGUACUGCAGGGGAGACUGGAAUUCCUGGUGUAGCGGUGGAAUGCGCAGAUAUCAGGAGGAACACCGGUGGCGAAGGCGGGUCUCUGGGCAGUAACUGACGCUGAGGAGCGAAAGCGUGGGGAGCGAACAGG
rnacentral:rRNA from 1 species